CCCACUCUAUCUCCGCGCCCGGUGCGACUGCUACGUCCAUCCAUUUUGUUGGCGUAGGGGGAAAAGUCAGAGGGUCUGGCGUCUAAGUCUAAGUCAGAGAGGACUUCACUAGAAGUCCUCCGAAAUCAUCUUUUCUUUUUCUUUGAAUAUGAGAAACUAUCAGCCCCAUGGACUGCAGCACACCAGGCCUCCCUGUCCAUCACCAGCUCCUGGAGUUUACUCAGACUCACGUCCAUUGAGAAUAUGUACCAGUACAAAGUGUUAACCUCAUUUGGAUUUGAACCCCCAUCCUCAAGAGCAAAAGAAGGCUGAGGAUCGCCAAAUGUCAGCUCAGCUGUGAGAAGUGUUUUAAAUCAUAUUUUGACGUACGUUACGCUGUUAACUAGAAAAUGAAGUGCAGCACACAUGCUUCUAGUAACUCUGGUUUCAAAUCAUAUGAUCCCUUCUUUGUCUUGAAGACCUUUUGAUGUGCGUUCCCAAUAUUGAGUUUCUCUGCUUUUAAUAAUCUUAUAUUCCUUCCUCAAUAUAAAUGUCAUGAAAAAUACUGAAUGCUAAUCUUCAAAGAUCAAACAGGAAGAAAGAGGUAGGCAGCAUAGCUCAGUGACUUGAAUU